CACAGGGUGAACCAGGACAGAAAGGGGACCCAAGUCGAACAGGUGAGAAAGGAGAUCAUGGACGUGCUGGGAUUACUGGUAUGCCUGGUUUACCUGGGACACCUGGUAAACCUGGUGUUGAUGGGAAACGUGGAGCAGCUGGAAAAGAUGUAAGUUUAAUAUAUUAUUGUAGUUCUAAAUGCUUUUGAACUUUUUGUAAAACCAAACCACUGGGUUUUUUUUCUCCAGGGAGAUCAAGGACCAAAGGGUGAUGAAGGGACAAAGGUGG
rnacentral:lncRNA from 1 species